GACGAACGCUGGCGGCGUGCCUAAUACAUGCAAGUAGAACGCUAAAGGAGGAGCUUGCUUCUCUGGAUGAGUUGCGAACGGGUGAGUAACGCGUAGGUAACCUGCCUUGUAGUGGGGGAUAACUAUUGGAAACGAUAGCUAAUACCGCAUAAUAGCAGUUGUUGCAUGAUAACUGUUUGAAAGGUGCAAUUGCACCGCUACCAGAUGGACCUGCGUCGUUUUAGCAAGGUGGUGGGGUAACGGCUCACCAAGGCGACGAUACAUAGCCGACCGGAGAGGGUGGGCAGCCGCACUGGGAGUGUGACCCGGCCCAGACGCCUACGGGUGAGAGCAGGAGGGAAUCGUCGGCAAGGGACGGAAGUCUGACCGAGAAACGCCGAGUGAGUGAAGAAGGUUUUCGGAUCGUAAAGCUCUGUUGUAAGAGAAGAAAGAGUGUGAGAGUGGAAAGUUCACACUGUGACGGUAUCUUACCAGAAAGGGACGGCUAACUACGUG
rnacentral:rRNA from 1 species